rnacentral:misc_RNA from 1 species
CCAAGCGUGUCCGCCAGCAAUGGUGACGACAUACAACCCUUUGUGAAAAUAUCUUUCUGUGCUUCGGUGGCGCCCCUCCUCUGGGAGGUUCGGUAAGCCCACCGGCCGUAAACCAUUUUGAAUUUUUCUGUCUUCUAAUAUAUUAACAAACGUUA